AACGAACGCUGGCGGCAGGCCUAACACAUGCAAGUCGAGCGAGACCUUCGGGUCUAGCGGCGGACGGGUGAGUAACGCGUGGGAACGUGCCCUUUUCUACGGAAUAGCCUCGGGAAACUGAGCGUAAUACCGUAUACGCCCUUUGGGGGAAAGAUUUAUCGGAGAAGUGUCGGCCCGCGUUGGUUUAGGUAGUUGGGGGGGUAAUGGCCUACCAAGCCUACGAUCCAUAGCUGGUUUGAGAGGAUGAUCAGCCACACUGGGACUGAGACACGGCCCAGACUCCGACGGGAGGCAGCAGUGGGGAAUCUUAGACAAUGGGGGCAACCCUGAUCUAGCCAUGCCGCGUGAGUGAUGAAGGCCUUAGGGUGGUAAAGCUCUUUAAGCUGGGAAGAUAAUGCCGGUACCAGAAGAAGAAGACCCGGCUAACUCCGU
rnacentral:rRNA from 1 species